AUCGCAUAUUGAGAACAGAAAUAUUUAUUUAUUGAUUUAAGGAAUGGGGCUAUUUGGAAAUCAUCCUUUCUCAAAAUAAACAAUAUCAUACACAGUUCAUUACAUAUAUAUACAUUUUCAUUAUUAUUUAUUUUAAUACUAAUUUCAAGGUGUAUAUAAUCUAGAAUUAUAUCACACUCUGACUUAUUUUUUUUUGUAUUUUUUUUCUGCAUAAAAAGAAAUAUAGACAAACAAGUAAAAAAUAUAAUACAAUAUUUACAAUUAU
rnacentral:lncRNA from 1 species